GGGACUAUAGCUCAGUGGUGGAGUGUUUGACUGCACAUCAAGAGGUCACUNGUUCAAAUCCAGACACUCUCU
rnacentral:tRNA from 1 species